GUAAGAAAUUGUAAAAUGACUCAAAUCUGACUCAUAAUCAGGUGGUCCCUGGUUCGAGCCCAGGUGGGACCA
rnacentral:tRNA from 2 species